rnacentral:lncRNA from 1 species
GCACAUUUUAAGCGAGAAUAUGAUAGAAUUCUCUCAUCUUCCUUCUAUUCCAUUGCCUCCAUCAUUUCAUGAAAGGAAAGCUUUUUUCUUUUUUAAUUUGGUCAUUUUUACUAUUUUAAACCAAAACAAGUUUAAAUCCUUCCAAAAUUUCCAUAGAUUUUUUUACCGAAAUCGAUAGAAAAACCUUAUAACAAGCUUGGUUUCCUGAGAAGAGAGAUUAUGGUCAUCUUGGAGGAGAGAGAAAAGUGAAGAAAGAUUUUGAAGUAAAGAAACAAGGUAAGAAUGGUGAGAUUUUGUCAUGGUUUCCUUACUAGUUUCAUUCAAAGUGUAUGAAAAUAAUAUUUAAUCCAUGUUUUAACAUGAAAACUUGUGGGUAUGUGGUAUGUUAAUAAAGUGAAAGAGAAGAGAAGUGAUUGUCAAGGGGUUGAUGAAGGAAAGAGGUAGCAAAGGAGUGAGAGAAGGAAGAAGAAAGCAAAUCCAAGCACUUAAGUGUAAGCACCCAAUUAAAUCUACGUGUAGGAAAUAUUCAAGUUGUUAGAAUAAUAUUUGUAUGACUAAAUUAUUAAGAAUAUGAUAAUAUUUAUUAUGAAAUUGAAAAAGAAGUAUUAUUGAUAUGAAAUGAAUUUCAAUGAUAAAGUGAAGUGGGGUUUUGGUAAAAAAAGUACUAAAUUGCAAAGUAUACAAAAGAAUUUAUAUGUGAAAUAAAUAAUAUUUUAGUGGACUUAAAUGAAGUAUUAUAUGGUAGUGAGUUAAAUUCAAAGUGAUAUUGAAGUAGAAAUUCAAAGUGAUAAUGAAGUAGAAUCUAUAGUGGUUAUUGAAUUUUUUAUAUUGCUAAGAACGAAAUUGUAAAGUAUUCAAAAGUGAUUAUGUGUACUAAAAUAUUAAAAUAAAAUAUUUAAGUAAGGCUAUAUAUGGAAGUAAAAUAAAAUUUGAAGUUAUAAGAUAGUUAUUAUUGAAAUAUAGGUAAGCAUGGACUAAAUUGAAAAGACUAUAAAACUAAGUGUAGCGAAUUUAAUGUAAUGAGGACUAAUUUGAAAUGCAUGUAAAAAUUAGAAUUGUGAAAUAAAAUACUUUAAUAGAGAGUUUGUAACAGCCCAUUUUCAGUGGUGUCGGAAACAGUCGUUUUGGGAUCAUAAUUUCAACGAGUGAGUAAACAUUUUAAUGUUUAUUUAUUGUUAUAGGGUUAAAUUAGUGUCAUACUAAAUUUUUGUUAAGAAAUUUUAAAGUUUAAAUGGUUAAUUAGGUAAAAAGGACUAAACUAACAAAAAAUACAAAAGUUAAAUUCUACUAAUUAAAUUAAUUGAAUGGCUUUGGAAAUGUAAGUUUGUAGAUCUAUAAGGUAAUUAUGCCAUUUAUAUUGGUGGUAGACAAUGAUGGACAUAGGUUGGUUAUUUUAUAAGUGUUAAUUAAAGGGUAAAAUAGUAAAACAAUAAAUAAAAGCAUGUACAAGUAAAAUAAUGGUAUCAUUUUUUUUUUCCAUUUUCUUGUGUUUGCUAAAAAUCACCAUUGUUGAGCUUGAGAAAAUUUAGCCAAGUUUCCUUUGGUGCAUGGUGAGAUUUUUGAACUCCGUUUUAAUCACAUGUAAAGUAAUGUGAGUAAAUGUAACUCAUUUCAUGUUGUAUCCUAUGUUUCAUAGAUGAUGAAUUGUUAAGUUAUUUACUACUGAUGUGAAUUGUGGUGUUUAGGAAAUUCAAGUACUAUAUGAUUUAAUGAGCAUGAUUGAAUGAUUAAAUAUUAAAGAACAGUAAGUUUAAGUUUCUCUUAUACAAAACUUACUAAGCAUUAAAUGCUUACGUAGUUGUUUUCCUCUAUUUUAUAGAUCAUCAGAAACUUCAAUUGGUUGGAAUCUUGUCGGAGCCUAUCACACUAUCUACCGAUCAUUUUGGUAGAACGUUUUGGUUACGGUUAUAAAUGGCAUGUAUAAGCCUGAUAUGUAAUAGAUGUAUUUGUAUAUGCUUGGAUAUUUAUUACAAAUGUUAUGUAUUAAGCUUGGUAUAAGCUUAAUGUAUGUGCCUUUAAUCUUGGUGUAAAUAUGUUUAUAUAAAGUUGUUUUAGUCUUUUGAUAUAAACUUUAUUUAAGUGUUUGAAUCAUGGUAGGAAUGAAUGUGAAUGAAUAAGAAGAAAUGAUAAGUUUGGUAUGAGUUUUAUACAGGAACUUAUAAAUUUGAAUGCAAAUUAGUUGAUGUGUCAUGUGAAUUGAGGUUGAUAAUUGAAUUAUGGUGUCAAUGAGGACACAUUGAUUUGGCACUUAGGUUGAUUGUUUUGGCAUGUUUUAAACUUUUUUAAAUGUGUUUUUAAAGUGUGGAAAUGGUUGAUUUUGAUUUAACUUGGUACCUAAGUUUUGGAUGAAAGUAUGCAUUGUUUUUUUAAGUUUUUU